rnacentral:rRNA from 1 species
CCUACGGGUGGCAGCAGUAGGGAAUAUUGCUCAAUGGGGGCAACCCUGAAGCAGCAACGCCGCGUGGAGGAUGAAGGUUUUCGGAUUUUAAACUCCUUUUGUUAGAGAAGAUAAUGACGGUAUCUAACGAAUAAGCACCGGAUAACGCCGUUCCAGCAACCGUGGUAAUACGGAGGGUGUAGGCGUUACACGGAAUCACUGGGCGUAAAGAGGGCGUAGGCGGGUUAGCAAGUCAGAUGUGAAAUCCUAUGGCUUAACCAUAGAACUGCAUUUGAAACUGUUAUUCUAGAGUAUGGGAGAGGUAGGUGGAAUUCUUGGUGUAGGGGUAAAAUCCGUAGAGAUCAAGAGGAAUACUCAUUGCGAAGGCGACCUGCUAGAACAUAACUGACGCUGAUGCGCGAAAGCGUGGGGAGCAAACAGGAUUAGAUACCCGGGUAGUC